GCUCCCUUCGUCUAGCGGUCAGGACACCGGCCUCUCACGCCGGCGACAGGGGUUCGAUUCCCCUAGGGAGCGCCA
rnacentral:tRNA from 1 species